CCCUGCCGCUGCUGCUUCGUUCUCUACUGCUCUUCUUCAUCAAAAAAAUAAAUAAAAACACACGAAGAUUCAUUGACCAAAUCCAUCAAAGACAUCAAAUCUCCUCUAUUCUCUUCAUCAGCACCAACUGAAAACGAAGAUUCAUCAAAAAAAAUCCAUCAACAACGUCUUUCUUCUACUGCUUUUGCUUCUCUUUUUCAUUAAAAAAGACGAAGAUUCAUCAAUGAAAUCCACCAAAAACAUCAGAUCCUCUAUUCUCUUCAUCAACACAACUGAAAACGAAGAUUAACCAACAAAAUCCAUCAACAACUUCGAAGAUUUGUUUUCAAUCGAGAGUAAUUUAUGUUGUCUGAAACAAUUGGUAAUUUUAUUGAAACUGAGAUUACGUCUUUACUUUGGUAUGUUGUUGGUAAGGGAAACCCUAGUUUUGUUUCUGCUUGAUGUUUUUUGGUGAUGUGAAUUUUAGAAAUUUAUCAAAUGAGAAUUUUUUGUAGUUUACAUUCUGUUAAUCAGGUAAUAUAGAUGUGGUUGUGGUUUUGACUAAAUCCGGUUAAGAUAUUGAUAGUUUGGUUUUUACAUGAUUCAAUUGAUUGUUGUCUGCAGCUGUAAGUUGAUUGUUGAGUGAUGAUAGUGAGUUGAUGUUCUUCCUCAAUUAAAAACCAGGUUAGGGCUUCUUCAAAUCAAUAUCUUCUUCUUCUAUUUAUUUGUAUUAAGGUUUUUGAUUAUAGAUAUAUAUAAAUAUUUAAUUUCAUUUUAAUUAAAUCCAGUAGCGAAUGAUGUCUCCGAGUCAUUAUGAUUAUGCAGAACUUGGGGUUUAACAUUGUUUACUAAUUGUUAUAUGCAUAAUCAGUGUUUAACAUCAUUGUAUGAAUAUGAUUUUGAAGGAAACACGAACUGGUGAGCCCCACUUCUGAAAUUCAGUGUUCUUUACCUUAAAGAUAUUGAUAAAAUGAUAUGCAGGUUCGGACAAGGGUUAUCUGAUUUUGAUGGUUUUGACAUCGUUGCCUAUUAAUCUGUGAGCAUCGCUUUUAGAUUGCACCUUUCUUUGUUAUGCAGACUGUUAAAUAUGCACAUAAAAAAGACUUCACAUCUUUAAUGGUUGUCUUACUACGUUGCCGAAAAGCUGAUCUGAAUUUGGUGAACAUUGUUUUUUACUCUGCGGAACAAGAAUAUGCAAGUAAAGCAGGAGUUCAUGAACUUGAGAUCCUUGUCGAUAAUGAUGUCUUUCUCCCUCCUGCUCCUAGCCAUCAUAGUGAGCAUUGACUUCACUGAGCAUAAAGUAAUUUUGGAAACUCUUCUCAGGGCUCACAACUUGUUCCUCAGCAUGUCAACCACCAUUUAUAGUUCGUUCCUUCUUAGACUUCUCAGAUAAGCUAUGGUGGCAGUUCACAUCCAACUCAGAGAAGUUAUGGUGGCAUUUCACAUCCAACCAAUGCUGCAGGACAGUUCCUUAAACCAGGCUUUGAGCAAAUCAAGCUUCCAGUUACCUCGUCCACCCAGGUUACUUCAUCCGCUCCAGCCGUAAAUGGAAUUUCCUUGUCGGGAAUUGAAUUUGUUGUUUGCUAUCAGGCGCAACAACUGCAAUCAUCUCUCUCAAGUUACGGCCAAGGUUCAGCGGAUGGUGAUGCUGAUAAGAAUCAAGGAUAUCAAUCAACCCUGUGAUCAGCUGUAAAUCUUCUUCUUCGGUCUUCGGAUACAAUAAAAAGAAGAUUCUCAGUUUGCACAAGGCCCUGGCAAUCAUCAAUGAGGACAUUAAUGCCUAGGCUCAUCAGCUUGUGCAAGGUCUCAAUUAACAUGUUUCUGGAUAAAGGCCUACUAAUUGUGUGAUCUGCAACGAAAUAUUGUUAUGUGUGUGGAAACAUUGCUCCGAGACUGAGCUUCAGCGAGAAUACAGUAGAUUCUAGGACCUUACAGCCUUUUUUUCCAUUUAAUUAACUUGGGUAAGUUUCAGAUGCUUUUGUGUUGGAUUGUACUUGAGGUUAAGAUUUAUGUCAACAUAUAACAUUGU